rnacentral:rRNA from 1 species
UCUACGGGUGGCAGCAGUGGGGAAUAUUGCACAAUGGGGGAAACCCUGAUGCAGCGACGCCGCGUGAAGGAAGAAGUAUUUCGGUAUGUAAACUUCUAUCAGCAGGGAAGAAAAUGACGGUACUCUGUGAGGAAGCCACGGCUAACUACGUGCCAGCAGCCGCGGUAAUACGUAGGUGGCGAGCGUUAUCCGGAAUCAUUGGGCGUAAAGAGGGAGCAGGCGGCCUGGAGGGUCUAUUGUUAAAAGGCAAUGGCUUAACCAUUGUAAGGCGAAGAAACCGGCAGGCUAGAGUUCUAAAGAGGAUCGUGGAAUUCCAUGGGUAGCGGUGAAAUGCGUAGAUAUAUGGAGGAACACCAGUGGCGAAGGCGACGAUCUGGGAAGAAACAGACGCUGAGUCCCGAAAGCGUGGGGAGCAAAUAGGAUUAGAUACCCGGGUAGUC